rnacentral:sRNA from 1 species
CCGCAAUAGGGAUGGAAACGGAAAUCCUUUUUUUGGAUGGGGAUUUUUGGUGCUGGAAAAAAAAGAUUGCAGUGUACAGCCCGACCCGAG